GUCGAGAAUCUUUCACAAUGGGGGCAACCCUGAUGGAGCGACGCCGCGUGGAGGAUAAGGUCUUCGGAUUGUAAACUCCUGUCAUGCGUGAACAAGGUUGCUUGGAUAAUACCUGAGCAAAUUGAUGGUAGCGCAAGAGGCAGAGACGGCUAACUCUGUGCCAGCAGCCGCGGUAAUACAGAGGUCUCAAGCGUUGUUCGGAAUCACUGGGCGUAAAGGGUGCGUAGGUGGCGUGGCAAGUCAGAUGUGAAAGCCCGGGGCUCAACCUCGGAACUGCAGCCGAUACUGCCAUGCUAGAGUACUGGAGGGGUGACUAGAAUUCUCGGUGUAGCAGUGAAAUGCGUAGAUAUCGAGAGGAAUACCAAAGGCGUAGGCAGGUCACUGGACAGUUACUGACACUGAGGCACGAAGGCCAGGGGAGCGAACGGGAUUAGAAACCCCGGUAGUCC
rnacentral:rRNA from 1 species